rnacentral:lncRNA from 1 species
GUUGUAUUUCUAAGGGUGCGUGAGGGGUGGUUGCUAUGCUGCAUCUGAAAGUCAGAAAACAACACCGUGGAACUCAGAGGCAAACUUCAGCAGCCAGUUCUCUACCGUACAGGGCCCAGUGAGUCCCAGGGGUCAAACUCAAGUAAGUCCGGCUUGGCAAGGAGGCCCUGUACCGGAUGAGCUAUCACAGUCGCCAGAGGGAAGAACGCUCAGGAAGAGCCUUGGCUAAAACUACAGGCUGGAGAGAUGGCUCAGCAGUUUAGAGCACUGGCUGCUCUUCCAGAGGUCCUCAGCACACACGUGGCAGCUCACAGCUAUCGGUAACUCUGCCUCCAGGAGAUGUGACGCCCUCUUCUGCCUAUGCAGGCACUGCAUGCACACAAUGUGCAGGCGUACACGCAGGCAAAAUAACCGCACAAAAAAUAAAAAUAAAUCUUGAAACAAACAACUAAGGGCGGGACAUGUAUGGUAGAGUGUUUGACUAACGUACACGAAGUCCUCAGUUCAGUUGAACAAUCAGCUCUGCAAACCCAGGCACGGUGGCACAUGUCUGUGAUCUGGGGAGGGGGGCAGGGGAGGGAGUGGGGGUGCUUUCUACAUCAUGUGAAACUCACUUUCACAUUUGGAACUUUGAAUUUAGCUUAUUUACUUUGUAAGUAGAGCUCUUCAACCUUGUUCGCCUUUUGGCUUAAUGUUACUGUCAACGAAAUAACGCAAGUUAAAAUGCUGCUCUGAGUUAACAGAAGGUCCUCAGGCUCUGUGGAGCUGGCUUGUCAUCUCAGCCUUGGGAACCCGGAAUCAGGACAGCAAGUCCAGACAUGGGCCUCAUGUUAUAAAAGUACUUCUGAACAUAUGCUGUCGUUUGUCCAUUUGUCAUUCUACUUUAUUAUUAUUAUUAUUAUUAUUAUUAUUAUUUUGUGCUUCUGAAUUAAUUUAAAUUUUAAUUAAAUUUAUUAGCAAAAUUUUUUGAAAAUAAAAAAAAAAUUCUGUUUAUAACUUGGAAGAUAAAACUUCCUAAGGAAAAAAUAGUAAGAGGAUACAUCUAAUACUUAAUGCUAGAAAGACUAUUAAGGAAGCUACAAUUUGGGCUGGCAAGAUGGCUCAGCGGUUAAGAGCAUUGUCUGCUCUUCCGAAGGUCCAGACUUCAAAUCCCAGCAACCACAUGGUGGCUCACAA